rnacentral:rRNA from 1 species
AGCAGCCGCGGUAAUUCCAGCUCCAAUAGCGUAUAUUAAAGUUGUUGCAGUUAAAAAGCUCGUAGUUGAAUUUCGGGACCAAUCUGCCGGUCGUGCCUCCGGUACGCACUGGUUUUAUUGGUUUCUCCCUUCUGACGAACCAUGAUGUCAUUAAUUUGGUGUCAUGGGGAAUCAGGACUGUUACUUUGAAAAAAUUAGAGUGUUUAUAGCGGGCUUACGCUUGAAUACAUUAGCAUGGAAUAAUGAAAUAGGACGUUUGACCCUAUUUUGUUGGUUUCUAGGAUCGACGUAAUGAUUAAUAGGGAUAGUUGGGGGCAUUAGUAUUCAAUUGUCAGAGGUGAAAUUCUUGGAUUUAUUGAAGACUAACUACUGCGAAAGCAUUUGCCAAGGAUGUUUUCAUUAAUCAAGAACGAAAGUUAGGGGAUCGAAGACGAUCAGAUACCGUCGUAGUCUUAACCAUAAACUAUGCCGACUAGGGAUCGGAUGAUGUAAUUUUUAAUGACUCAUUCGGCGCCUUACG